rfam:Nocardioides sp. Soil805 contig_1, whole genome shotgun sequence.
AGCUCGACGGGAUCGACGCCGCGGGUGACGAGCAGGUAGUCGCGGAUGCAGAACGCGUGCCGGCCCUC